rnacentral:rRNA from 1 species
CCUACGGGAGGCUGCAGUGGGGAAUAUUGGACAAUGGGGGCAACCCUGAUCCAGCCAUGCCGCGUGUGUGAAGAAGGCCCUCGGGGUGUAAAGCACUUUCAGUGAGGAAGAACGCCUGGUGGUUAAUACCCAUCAGGAAAGACAUCACUCACAGAAGAAGCACCGGCUAACUCCGUGCCAGCAGCCGCGGUAAUACGGAGGGUGCGAGCGUUAAUCGGAAUUACUGGGCGUAAAGCGCGCGUAGGUGGCUUGAUAAGCCGGUUGUGAAAGCCCCGGGCUCAACCUGGGAACGGCAUCCGGAACUGUCAAGCUAGAGUGCAGGAGAGGAAGGUAGAAUUCGCGGUGUAGCGGUGAAAUGCGUAGAGAUCGGGAGGAAUACCAGUGGCGAAGGCGGCCUUCUGGACUGACACUGACACUGAGGUGCGAAAGCGUGGGUAGCAAACAGGAUUAGAUACCCGGGUAGUC